CAGCCGCCGCGGUAAAACCAGCACCUCAAGUGGUCAGGAUGAUUAUUGGGCCUAAAGCAUCCGUAGCCGGCUCUGUAAGUUUUCGGUUAAAUCUGUACGCUCAACGUACAGGCUGCCGGGAAUACUGCAGAGCUAGGGAGUGGGAGAAGUAGACGGUACUCGGUAGGAAGGGGUAAAAUGCUUUGAUCUAUCGAUGACCACCUGUGGCGAAGGCGGUCUACUAGAACACGUCCGACGGCGAGGGAUGAAAGCUGGGGGAGCAAACCGGAUUAGAUACCCGGGUAGUCCCAGCUGUAGACUGUGCGAACUCAGUGAUGCAUUGGCUUGUGGCCAAUGCAGUGCUGCAGGGAAGCCGUUAAGUUUGCCGCCUGGGAAGUACGUACGCAAGUAUGAAACUUAAAGGAAUUGGCGGGGGAGCAC
rnacentral:rRNA from 2 species